rnacentral:rRNA from 1 species
UACGAAGGGGGCUAGCGUUAUUCAGAUUUACUGGGCGUAAAGCGCACGUAGGCGGAUAUUUAAGUCAGAGGUGAAAUCCCAGGGCUCAACCCUGGAACUGCCUUUGAUACUGGAAAUCUCGAGUAUGGAAGAGGUGAGUGGAAUUCCGAGUGUAGAGGUAAAAUUCGUAGAUAUUCGGAGGAACACCAGUGGCGAAGGCGGCUCACUAAUCCAUUACUGACGCUGAGGUGCGAAAGCGUGGGGAGCAAACA